UUUUCUCUUUAAAACCUCCAAAUACCUUAAAAAACUUUCCCUUCCUUUCAAACAUUAAAAAAUUAUAAAGGUUUAAAACCAUGAAAAACAUUACUUUAAAAAAUUUUAUUAGACAAAACCUCAUUUUACUCUCUCCUCUCAAACAAAGUAUUAAUUUUUUUAUACACUGCUAACGUGGGACAUGUUCCCAUAAACCAGAUUUCAACACCCCCCUCAAGUGCAACUAGGUUCGGCUUGGACAUCAUAGGCCUAGUUGUCACUUAGCAUUGCAUGGGUUAGCCCAUCUAACUUGGGAUUGGCUCCUUGACUUUGCCUUCAUGGUCUAACUUACUGGGCUAGCUCAUGGAUUCACCUGAAUUUAGCUUGAUUAGCUCAACUUACGAGUCUAGCUCACUAGGGCUCAACUCACCAUGCUUUGAGGUCCUGGAUCUAUAGUUGUUAAGCCUCAUCACUUUGAUACCAUGUUAAAAUCAAGGGCCAAAAAGUGUGAAUAAACAGGCAGGUCUCGAUGCUGAAUUGGGCAUGAAACUGGAAUCUCCAUAACCAAAAUGAUCUAAGCCAUUUUUGUUUGUUUUUCCAGCACUUAUAUGUCCGU
rnacentral:misc_RNA from 1 species